UACGUAGGGUGCAAGCGUUGUCCGGGAAUUAUUGGGCGUAAAGGGCGCGUAGGCGGCAUGGCAAGUGGAUGGUGAAAUCCCUCGGCUUAACCGAGGAACUGCCGUCCAAACUGCUUCGCUUGAGACCGGGAGAGGUGAGUGGAAUUCCCAGUGUAGCGGUGAAAUGCGUAGAUAUUGGGAGGAACACCAGUGGCGAAGGCGGCUCACUGGACCGGUACUGACGCUGAUGCGCGAAAGCGUGGGGAGCGAACAGG
rnacentral:rRNA from 1 species